rnacentral:rRNA from 1 species
UAGGGAAUCUUGCGCAAUGGAGGAAACUCUGACGCAGCUACGCCGCGUGCAGGAAGACACCCCUAUGGGGCGUAAACUGCUUUUCUGCGAGAAGAAGGCCAUUCCCCCCACGGGGGAAGGUUUGACGGUACCGCAGGAAUAAGGACCGGCUAACUCCGUGCCAGCAGCCGCGGUAAUACGGAGGGUCCAAGCGUUGUCCGGUAUCACUGGGUGUAAUGGGUGUGCAGGCGGACUGACAAGUCAGUGGAGAAAGCCGGCAGCUCAUGUGCGGAAGUGCCACUGAAACUGGCAGGCUUGAGUCCCGGAGGGGUUAUCGGAAUUCGUGGUGCAGCGGUGAAAUGCGUAGAUAUCACGAGGGACACCAGAAGCGUAAGCGGAUAACCGGACGGUGACUGACGCUCAGGCACGAAAGCGUGGGGAGCAAACAGGAUUAGAUACCCCCGUAGUCC